GUCGCUGUCGUCUGCGCUCGGUGCUCGAUUCCCUUGCCGGCCAUAAAGAACGAUGUCUCAGUGUGGAACUUGAGGGUACACCGUUGUUUGAGGGCGAGCAGGUGGUGGUAGACGGCAUCAUGCUCCGUGGCGCUGCAGUAGCUGAGUGUGGAGGUGACAAGAUCCUCGAGUCGGCUGCGAAAGAGAUCCCUGAGACCCGAGGAGACGAGCCUCUGGAGUGUCUCGAUCUCGUCCUCGCGAGCCUUAAUGAGAAUGUCGUGCAGCUCCGUGAGGUAGCGCUCGUGCGCCUCAGCAAUUCUGCUCGUGAGGCCGUCC
rnacentral:lncRNA from 1 species